rnacentral:misc_RNA from 1 species
GAUGAAGAACGCAGCGAAAUGCGAUAAGUAAUGUGAAUUGCAGAAUUCAGUGAAUCAUCGAAUCUUUGAACGCACAUUGCGCCCAUUAGUAUUCUAGUGGGCAUGCCUGUUCGAGCGUCAUUUCAACCCUUAAGCCUAGCUUAGUGUUGGGAGCCUACUGCUUUUACUAGCUGUAGCUCCUGAAAUACAACGGCGGAUCUGCGAUAUCCUCUGAGCGUAGUAAUUUUUAUCUCGCUUUUGACUGGAGUUGCAGCGUCUUUAGCCGCUAAAUCCCCCAAUUUUUAAUGGUUGACCUCGGAUCAGGUAGGAAUACCCGCUGAACUUAAGCAUAUCAAUAAGCGGAGGA